GAGAGAGAUGAGGACAGAGAAGGGUCAUGGAGAGAGAUGAGGACAGAGAAGGGUCAUGGAAAGAGAUUUGGACAGAGAAGGUUAUGGAGAGAGAUGGAGAGAGAUGAGGACAGAGAAGGGUUAUGGAGAGAGAUGAGGACAGAGAAGGUUAUGGAGAGAGAUGGGGACAGAGAAGGGUCAUGGAGAGAGAUGAGGACAGAGAAGGGUCAUGGAGAGAGAUGAGGACAGAGAAGGUUAUGGAGAGAGAUGAGGACAGAGAAGGUUAUGGAGAGAGAUGGAGAGAUGAGGACAGAGAAGGGUCAUGGAGAGAGAUGAGGACAGAGAAGGUUAUGGAGAGAGAUGGGGACAGAGAAGGUCAUGGAGAGAGAUGAGGACAGAGAAGGGUUAUGGAGAGAGAUGAGGACAGAGAAGGGUCAUGGAGAGAGAUGAGGACAGAGAAGGGUCAUGGGA
ensembl:lncRNA